rfam:Geobacteraceae bacterium GWC2_58_44 gwc2_scaffold_7671, whole genome shotgun sequence.
GUUGCCUUUUAAAUUAGCCCCGUGAGGUUAGCAAAGGUGAAGCAUAAAGUACUCUUUAUCGUUAUUUAGAAGAGCCUUUUCGCCUUUUGUGCGGGAAGGCUCUUUUUAUU